rnacentral:rRNA from 1 species
UUAAGGGCGCACGGUGGAUGCCUUGGCACUAGAAGCCGAUGAAGGACGUUACUAACGACGAUAUGCUUUGGGGAGCUGUAAGUAAGCUUUGAUCCAGAGAUUUCCGAAUGGGGAAACCCAGCAUGAGUUAUGUCAUGUUAUCGAUAUGUGAAUACAUAGCAUAUCAGAAGGCACACCCGGAGAACUGAAACAUCUUAGUACCCGGAGGAAGAGAAAGAAAAUUCGAUUCCCUUAGUAGCGGCGAGCGAAACGGGAAGAGCCCAAACCAACAAGCUUGCUUGUUGGGGUUGUAGGACACUCUAUACGGAGUUACAAAGGACGACAUUAGACGAAUCAUCUGGAAAGAUGAAUCAAAGAAGGUAAUAAUCCUGUAGUCGAAAAUGUUGUCUCUCUUGAGUGGAUCCUGAGUACGACGGAGCACGUGAAAUUCCGUCGGAAUCUGGGAGGACCAUCUCCUAAGGCUAAAUACUCUCUAGUGACCGAUAGUGAACCAGUACCGUGAGGGAAAGGUGAAAAGCACCCCGGAAGGGGAGUGAAAUAGAACCUGAAACCGUGUGCUUACAAGUAGUCAGAGCCCGUUAAUGGGUGAUGGCGUGCCUUUUGUAGAAUGAACCGGCGAGUUACGAUUUGAUGCAAGGUUAAGCAGUAAAUGUGGAGCCGUAGCGAAAGCGAGUCUGAAUAGGGCGUUUAGUAUUUGGUCGUAGACCCGAAACCAGGUGAUCUACCCUUGGUCAGGUUGAAGUUCAGGUAACACUGAAUGGAGGACCGAACCGACUUACGUUGAAAAGUGAGCGGAUGAACUGAGGGUAGCGGAGAAAUUCCAAUCGAACCUGGAGAUAGCUGGUUCUCUCCGAAAUAGCUUUAGGGCUAGCCUCAAGUGAUGAUUAUUGGAGGUAGAGCACUGUUUGGACGAGGGGCCCCUCUCGGGUUACCGAAUUCAGACAAACUCCGAAUGCCAAUUAAUUUAACUUGGGAGUCAGAACAUGGGUGAUAAGGUCCGUGUUCGAAAGGGAAACAGCCCAGACCACCAGCUAAGGUCCCAAAAUAUAUGUUAAGUGGAAAAGGAUGUGGCGUUGCCCAGACAACUAGGAUGUUGGCUUAGAAGCAGCCAUCAUUUAAAGAGUGCGUAAUAGCUCACUAGUCGAGUGACACUGCGCCGAAAAUGUACCGGGGCUAAACAUAUUACCGAAGCUGUGGAUUGUCCUUUGGACAAUGGUAGGAGAGCGUUCUAAGGGCGUUGAAGCAUGAUCGUAAGGACAUGUGGAGCGCUUAGAAGUGAGAAUGCCGGUGUGAGUAGCGAAAGACGGGUGAGAAUCCCGUCCACCGAUUGACUAAGGUUUCCAGAGGAAGGCUCGUCCGCUCUGGGUUAGUCGGGUCCUAAGCUGAGGCCGACAGGCGUAGGCGAUGGAUAACAGGUUGAUAUUCCUGUACCACCUAUAAUCGUUUUAAUCGAUGGGGGGNGGGGGGACGCAGUAGGAUAGGCGAAGCGUGCGAUUGGAUUGCACGUCUAAGCAGUAAGGCUGAGUAUUAGGCAAAUCCGGUACUCAUUAAGGCUGAGCUGUGAUGGGGAGAAGACAUUGUGUCUUCGAGUCGUUGAUUUCACACUGCCGAGAAAAGCCUCUAGAUAGAAAAUAGGUGCCCGUACCGCAAACCGACACAGGUAGUCAAGAUGAGAAUUCUAAGGUGAGCGAGCGAACUCUCGUUAAGGAACUCGGCAAAAUGACCCCGUAACUUCGGGAGAAGGGGUGCUCUUUAGGGUUAACGCCCAGAAGAGCCGCAGUGAAUAGGCCCAAGCGACUGUUUAUCAAAAACACAGGUCUCUGCUAAACCGUAAGGUGAUGUAUAGGGGCUGACGCCUGCCCGGUGCUGGAAGGUUAAGAGGAGUGGUUAGCUUCUGCGAAGCUACGAAUCGAAGCCCCAGUAAACGGCGGCCGUAACUAUAACGGUCCUAAGGUAGCGAAAUUCCUUGUCGGGUAAGUUCCGACCCGCACGAAAGGCGUAACGAUUUGGGCACUGUCUCAACGAGAGACUCGGUGAAAUCAUAGUACCUGUGAAGAUGCAGGUUACCCGCGACAGGACGGAAAGACCCCGUGGAGCUUUACUGUAGCCUGAUAUUGAAAUUCGGCACAGCUUGUACAGGAUAGGUAGGAGCCUUUGAAACGUGAGCGCUAGCUUACGUGGAGGCGCUGGUGGGAUACUACCCUAGCUGUGUUGGCUUUCUAACCCGCACCACUUAUCGUGGUGGGAGACAGUGUCAGGCGGGCAGUUUGACUGGGGCGGUCGCCUCCUAAAAGGUAACGGAGGCGCUCAAAGGUUCCCUCAGAAUGGUUGGAAAUCAUUCAUAGAGUGUAAAGGCAUAAGGGAGCUUGACUGCGAGACCUACAAGUCGAGCAGGGUCGAAAGACGGACUUAGUGAUCCGGUGGUUCCGCAUGGAAGGGCCAUCGCUCAACGGAUAAAAGCUACCCCGGGGAUAACAGGCUUAUCUCCCCCAAGAGUUCACAUCGACGGGGAGGUUUGGCACCUCGAUGUCGGCUCAUCGCAUCCUGGGGCUGUAGUCGGUCCCAAGGGUUGGGCUGUUCGCCCAUUAAAGCGGUACGCGAGCUGGGUUCAGAACGUCGUGAGACAGUUCGGUCCCUAUCCGUCGUGGGCGUAGGAAAUUUGAGAGGAGCUGUCCUUAGUACGAGAGGACCGGGAUGGACAUACCUCUGGUGUACCAGUUGUCGUGCCAACGGCAUAGCUGGGUAGCUAUGUGUGGACGGGAUAAGUGCUGAAAGCAUCUAAGCAUGAAGCCCCCCUCAAGAUGAGAUUUCCCAACUUCGGUUAUAAGAUCCCUCAAAGAUGAUGAGGUUAAUAGGUUCGAGGUGGAAGCAUGGUGACAUGUGGAGCUGACGAAUACUAAUCGAUCGAAGACUUAAUC